UCUCUGAUACACCGGCUACAUAGGGGAUGACAAUGUUGUUGCGUCUGCGCACCUCCAGGAUUGGAACAGCAGCCCCUUGCACCAGGUGUAGAAAGUGUGCCUACAAAAGCCACUCUACUGUGGUUAGUACAUCUUGCUGCUAAUGAGGAUGCACGCAGAAGCACACACUGGAAUAUCAAUUUCGAUCAUUUUAUUGGUCAUCUCAGUGGUUAUUUGGUCAUUAAAUUGCCUUUGUGGCCACUAACACACCAUUUGUGAUUUACUUUUUGGCCAUUCAUUGAUACUCAUUGAUACUUUUAAUUAUUGCUACGCAUCUAACCUCCACCAUGGUUAGAAAAUAAAUCAGUUUGCAUGUAUUAUUUAGAAAAAAAAUGGGGAUUUUAUGCUUUUAUCCCUAUUUAAAUCAUUAAAAUUAUGUGAUCUAACUGGUAUUUAAAGGGUUAAAAUUCUGAAUUUGAAUGAAAUUUUGAUUUUCAUGAACAGCACUGAUGCUAAUCUUAAAAAAUCAAGUCAGAAAAAGUGGAAUUUUUUCUUAAUAUAUAUGAAUUUUAUAGCAUUUUGUAAACGUAAACAGGGGGUGUCCAUUUUUGGCCACAAACAAGCUGACAGGGAGUUUUUAUGUUUUUGCUCUCCCUGCACAAAAACAACAAUGCAUUAUAAUCAGUGUUGAUGUGAAUCAAUUACAUGCCCCAGACUCUACUAUUAACAAUACAAGAAAUUUCAGUAGCAAUGCAAUUAUAUAAAAUUGUGAGAUUUGAGGUUGUCUUCCAGCUGGUGCAGUGGACAAACAAACUGGUGUUUAAAGGGUUAAA